rnacentral:misc_RNA from 1 species
AGAGGAGUUAAGGGAGUUGAUGAAAGGGAUGGAGGGAGAGGCAACGAUGCCGCCAAGGAUGUUUGUGAAGGGAAGGUAUGUAGGUGGGGUGGAGGAGGUGAUGAAUAUAGUGGAGGAGGGGAAAAUGGGAGACCUGCUGCAGGGCUUGCCAAAGAAGAGAGGGGGUAUGUGUGAUGGGUGUGGGGAUGCGAGGUUCCUUCCAUGUUUUUCGUG